UUCAAGAACAGAAGAUUCUGGUCACCAUAGAGAUGCCCCCCCUCAACUCUUCACCUCCUCCUAUCUUACACACUACUGCUUGAGACCCACACUCUGGAGAAUCAAGUAACCAAUGACAGCCCAUUUGUCUAGAUUCUUCGAAAUGCUACACCAAUACGGAGGAAACCCAGAUCUGCCUGAUAGGCAUCUUUUUAGAAGAUCCACUUACAUCAAAACCUUGCAAAGUCAUCCCUUUUGAGAAAUAUGCUGAGACUAAGGAUAAAGAGGAGAUGGGCAUUCCCCUAUAGUCCUUCAGGAACUAGGUGGCUCACGAUGCUUCAGUAGAACACCUCAAAAAGAGUAAAAAGGACUCCCUCAAGGAAAAAUUUACCAGCUCUGAGUUCUUCUCUAGGAUAUUUUAAAUUGGCUGUUUCAUGUUUGAACAUUCUAACGAAGAUGAAGUACUUGGAAGCCAAGCAGCUGCUGAGACAUCUGAGACAGUGUUGAAAUUCUUGAAGCUCAGCAUUAUAGAUAUAGGUAUACGGCUACUUACAGACUCAGAUGUUUCAACUACCAAAAACAAGUACUACAAGUAUGGAAGAGAAGCUUCACAGGCUCAAGGACCUAAUGCAUCACAAUUUCCAGAAGUCUUUAUUAUAGCCCGUGGCUCUCACACCUACAAAGACAACCAAGUGAGGCACGUCUGGCCUUACCUUGGGAUACUGCUUGACAGGUAUCAGUACCCGCUCCUUCAGCUUCAUGUUCUUAUGAGAAAAUAAAUCCAAGUAAUUCUC